GACGUAGGGGGCGAGCGUUGUCCGGAUUUAUUGGGCGUAAAGAGCUCGUAGGCGGCGCGGUAAGUCGGGUGUGAAAUCUCGGAGCUUAACUCCGAAACUGCAUUCGAUACUGCCGUGCUUGAGGACUGGAGAGGAGACUGGAAUUUACGGUGUAGCGGUGAAAUGCGUAGAUAUCGUAAGGAAGACCAGUGGCGAAGGCGGGUCUCUGGACAGUUCCUGACGCUGAGGCACGAAGGUCAGGGGAGCAAACGGG
rnacentral:rRNA from 1 species